UCCCUCUCAGUGUUGCACCUGGAGAGUUUCCAGUACUCUGCCAGUCUCGACUACGAGAGGGAGAGUCAAGCAGAGACAUAAGCCAUUCCAUUCCUAGCUUGGCCAGUGGCUAGUGAAUGGAAGGUAAUCUGCUAACAAG